AUGUCAUCCUGUGAGGUGACAAAGACACAGAAACUUAUCGUUCUUUAAUGAAGACUAACAAUGUUUUUUAAUAAAGUCUUACUCUGAGAGCCUGUUGCUAUA
rnacentral:sRNA from 2 species